GUACACUCCUGCGGGAGGCAGCAGUGGGGAAUAUUGGACAAUGGGCGCAAGCCUGAUCCAGCCAUGCCGCGUGAGUGAUGAAGGCCCUAGGGUUGUAAAGCUCUUUCACCGGUGAAGAUAAUGACGGUAACCGGAGAAGAAGCCCCGACUAACUUCGUGCCAGCAGCCGCGGUAAUACGAAGGGGGCUAGCGUUGUUCGGAUUUACUGGGCGUAAAGCGCACGUAGGCGGACUAUUAAGUCAGGGGUGAAAUCCCGGGGCUCAACCCCGGAACUGCCUUUGAUACUGGUAGUCUUGAGUUCGAGAGAGGUGAGUGGAAUUCCGAGUGUAGAGGUGAAAUUCGUAGAUAUUCGGAGGAACACCAGUGGCGAAGGCGGCUCACUGGCUCGAUACUGACGCUGAGGUGCGAAAGCGUGGGGAGCAAACAGGAUUAGAUACCCCGGUAGUCCC
rnacentral:rRNA from 1 species